rnacentral:lncRNA from 1 species
GGGUAGAGAAUAGAGGAGUAUUUCAAUCCCAAUUCCUCUUGCGCAAGUGCUUCCGAUCUGACGAAAAUCUUGCGCUGUCAAUCGUUCUCAAGAUUUCAAUAUUUGUUGCUGCUAUGUACAUUUUUCAAUGCAUUUUCCAUGUUUUUGGAAUUUGCCAUUUUACAUUUUCUUGUUUUUUAGUAAUUUUUUAGUUUGCAAAAUAAAUAUUUUUUAUAGAUGACUUUUUUCUGUAAAUACUGCGUAUUUGAUUCUAUUAUCAUAUGAUAAUAGUAUAUUUGAUUUGUAUUUAUUUAUUAUACCUUUAUAUAUUCUAGAUAUAUAGAAUAGGCGAAUCUCGAUUUGAAGUCUCAUGAUCGUAUCAUGAUCCAUAGCCGAGUUUAAUUGCAGUCAAUUAGAAGAAUAAAGAAGAAUUACUGCAUUUCGUAACUUAUUUUUUGUCUUUUUAUUUCGUUUCUUUUUAUUUUCGGCUCGGGUCGAGGCAGCCACUCGGCCCACAGACGGAUCAGAAGGGUGGGGAACCCUGAGACCAAUCCCUCAUCUGAACCUUUUUUCUUCAAUAAAAAUACUGACUCUCGAGGCCAGCUCUUGGCUCACUAGAAAGGUAAAAUAGAAAAUAAUAUGUUUUUA